GAAACCUAAAGUUGUAGUAGCAGGAACAAUAAAGGCCAAUACAUGAUUAUUCGCGUUGGACGAAAAAAUGUUGCAAUAAAGCCAACAUCCGCACAAUAACAUGUCAAUUAUUAUAGGUAGACGUCUCAGAGAAGAAGUCCACAACAACAUGAUGACGAGCCAGAUUUUUGUCAAUAAAAUUAGG
rnacentral:rRNA from 1 species